rnacentral:misc_RNA from 1 species
AAGUCGUAACAAGGUUUCCGUAGGUGAACCUGCGGAAGGAUCAUUAACACGUAUCCAAACGUUAAACCCCCCUGUGAACCUUCACCUGUACUCGUACGUCCGUUAGAAAAAGCAGCAAUCCCUGGUAAAUCAUCGCCGAACAGUUUUCGAUUCAGGGAUGUCUGCAAGGAGCGUGCAUGUUGUGCGAGCAAGUGGCCUGGCAUCCCCAAGCAGUUAGUGUCUGAAAGUGUCAUUAACUGUGUAAGGAUGACGCAGUCACGAUCGUUGGAGGCCCACACGGCCGACGACCCUAUAACAAACGCUGCUAAUCGCGGCCGCGAUAAUACGCAGUCGACCAAAAACCGAACAACUGUUAACAAUGGAUAUCUUGGUUCUC